rnacentral:rRNA from 1 species
ACACAUGCAAGUCGAGGGGCAGCAUGGUCUUAGCUUGCUAAGGCCGAUGGCGACCGGCGCACGGGUGAGUAACACGUAUCCAACCUGCCGUCUACUCUUGGACAGCCUUCUGAAAGGAAGAUUAAUACAAGAUGGCAUCAUGAGUCCGCAUGUUCACAUGAUUAAAGGUAUUCCGGUAGACGAUGGGGAUGCGUUCCAUUAGAUAGUAGGCGGGGUAACGGCCCACCUAGUCUUCGAUGGAUAGGGGUUCUGAGAGGAAGGUCCCCCACAUUGGAACUGAGACACGGUCCAAACUCCUACGGGAGGCAGCAGUGAGGAAUAUUGGUCAAUGGGCGAGAGCCUGAACCAGCCAAGUAGCGUGAAGGAUGACUGCCCUAUGGGUUGUAAACUUCUUUUAUAAAGGAAUAAAGUCGGGUAUGGAUACCCGUUUGCAUGUACUUUAUGAAUAAGGAUCGGCUAACUCCGUGCCAGCAGCCGCGGUAAUACGGAGGAUCCGAGCGUUAUCCGGAUUUAUUGGGUUUAAAGGGAGCGUAGAUGGAUGUUUAAGUCAGUUGUGAAAGUUUGCGGCUCAACCGUAAAAUUGCAGUUGAUACUGGAUAUCUUGAGUGCAGUUGAGGCAGGCGGAAUUCGUGGUGUAGCGGUGAAAUGCUUAGAUAUCACGAAGAACUCCGAUUGCGAAGGCAGCCUGCUAAGCUGCAACUGACAUUGAGGCUCGAAAGUGUGGGUAUCAAACAGG